GGGGCCGACCUGGAUUUGACAGCGGCUUCGUAGUGCGUGUAAGCAUGCCGGGCGAUGGGGACAGGCCCGCCAAAUCGAUCCCUGCGCCAUAACUGGCGAAGUAGACUACGCGCUCGCGGCCUAAUAGCCUCAGGCUAAUGGCCUUAUCCACGUGAACAACAGUAGCGUGGACGAGCACCCCUCGGGGAGGCCCGUCGACCUCCUUCCCGGCCCAGGGGUGUCAUCCUGGAAGACUGGCCUGUGCGGUGGUCCGGAGCACAGGUGAGAAACAGGACCUAAGCCCGUGCUAGGGUGCCCUCCCCCAGGCACGGGUCGAAAACCAAUGGAACGGCUACGCAUGUAGAAAGCCCGCAUUGCGGUCGUUUGGACGGCGGUUCGAUCCCGCCCGGCUCCACCU
rnacentral:tmRNA from 1 species